UGGGUAACCUGCCUCAAAGAGGGGAAUAGCCUCCCGAAAGGGAGAUUAAUACCGCAUAAUAUGUUUUAGUCGCAUGACUUAAACAUCAAAGGAUUUUCUUUUAGAAAUUCCACUUUGAGAUGGACCCGCGGCGCAUUAGCUAGUUGGUGAGGUAACGGCUCACCAAGGCAACGAUGCGUAGCCGACCUGAGAGGGUGAUCGGCCACAUUGGAACUGAGACACGGUCCAGCU
rnacentral:rRNA from 1 species